AAAAUAUAAGAUUGCUUACAGCAAGAAACGUUCUGGAUGGGCGGAGGAUAUCUUUAAGUGGGAACAUACAAUUCAGAUUGGUGUUCCAAUUGACUUAAGAGGGUUUAAUACCAGCUACCUCGUUCUACAAGCUAUGGCCAUGUGGGGGAAUGACAGACGACUGAAAUUUGUUGGGGAUGCAAAGACUCUUCGAAAGAACUUUGUGAUUGAUCUGUUAAUUUAUGAGGAUAAUUCGUGCCGAUAUGCCAUCCCUGCAAAUAUACAACAGAGACUUAUCGAUAUCACUAAAAAGGAUUAGCUGAUUAGUGUACGGUUGUCGACACAUUUGUUUGUAAUUAAAAAUUCUAAAUUAACUUUUUAGAAAUAAUUUGUGUGACAUUGAUAAUGUUUUCCAC